GGUCAUUUAGAGGAAGUAAAAGUMGUAACAAGGUUUCCGUAGGUGAACCUGCGGAAGGAUCAUUAUCGUACAAAAUGCGAGAAGGCAUGCGAGGGCUGUCGCUGACUCUCAAAAGUCGUGCACGCCGGAGUGUGUUCUCUCGCAUAAUCAAUCCAUCUCACCCUUUUGUGCAUCACCGCGUGGGCACCCUUCGGGAUUGUCUCGGAGGGGGCUCGCGUUUUCACACAAACCCCCCCUUUUUAAAAGUGUAGAAUGACCUCAUUUAUGCGCUAACCCGCAAUCAAUACAACUUUCAACAACGGAUCUCUUGGCUCUCGCAUCGAUGAAGAACGCAGCGAAAUGCGAUACGUAAUGUGAAUUGCAGAAUUCAGUGAAUCAUCGAAUCUUUGAACGCACCUUGCGCCCCUUGGUAUUCCGAGGGGCACACCCGUUUGAGUGUCGUGAAAACCUCAACCUCCUUGGUUUCUUCUGGAGACCAAAGAAGGCUUGGACUUUGGAGGCCUUUGCUGGCACCUCUCUUUUGAAGGCCAGCUCCUCUUAAACAAAUUAGCAGGGUCCUCUUUGCUGAUCCUUGACAUGUGAUAAGAUGUUUCCAUGUCUUGGUUUCUGGCUCUGUCACCUUUGGGACCCGCUUCUAACCGUCUUGACCUUGCGUCGAGACAACGUUCGAACAUGUCUCCCUUUCUCGGGAAGCUCCCUCGACCCCACGAACCCCUUGACCUCAAAUCGGGUGAGACUACCCGCUGAACUUAAGCAUAUCAAUA
rnacentral:rRNA from 1 species